UACGUAGGGUGCGAGCGUUAAUCGGAAUUACUGGGCGUAAAGCGUGCGCAGGCGGUUUUGUAAGACAGGUGUGAAAUCCCCGGGCUCAACCUGGGAACUGCAUUCGUGACUGCAAGGCUAGAGUGUGGCAGAGGGGGGUGGAAUUCCACGUGUAGCGGUGAAAUGCGUAGAUAUGUGGAGGAAGAUCGAUGGCGAAGGCAGCCCCCUGGGUCAACACUGACGCUCAUGCACGAAAGCGUGGGGAGCAAACAGG
rnacentral:rRNA from 1 species